CUAUCAAAACUUGCACCGGAAAGGCCAGAGGAGUGGGACAAGCACUUGGAUGCUGUGAUGUUCGGACUCAGGACUAAGCGCCAAGUUACCACUAAAUUCUCCCCAUAUUUUUUAAUGUUUGGGAGAGAGGCAAGGUACCCCAGCGAGAUCCCUGAAGAAUACAGGGUGGAUGGGAGUGUUGAGAACAACAUUUCAGUUGAGGGAAUGACUGAGGACAUCCUUAAACUGGAUGAGGCACUUCAAAGUGCAAUAAAUAAUAACCAGGCCAAAACUCCCCAAAAAAAUGGCCAAAAAAACUGCCCCACCCUUUCAGGUGGGUAUGAAGGUCUGGAGGCUUAAUGUUAGGAGCCAGCAGAGAAAAGGGGGAAAAUUAGACCCUAAUUAUCUAGGGCCCUACACAAUUGUGGCCAUAGAUGGCAAAAGUGUGGACCUGAUCAACAGCCAAGGAGUGAAAAUUCCUAAAAUUAGUCGGGACCAUUUGGUUACUUAUCAGGAGGAGCAAAGAAGAGUGCCACACAAGAUAACAGAUUGCACACCUACCCCGCCGUCAUCUCACCCGCCUGCCACCCCGCCGUCAUCACCCGCCUGCCACCCCGCUGUCAUCUCACCCGCCUGCCACCCCUCCGUCAUCACACCCGCCUGCCACCCCGCCGUCAUCACACCCGCCUGCCACCCCGCCUUCAUCAGGUCCGCCCAAAAGGACCUUCUCUAGCCUCUCCACAGCCACUGCCAUUACAGAUGUGAAGGACGCAUGGGAGGGGAAAAAACCAUAUGUUCUCCUUUCCAAAAUUGGGCCCUUCAAAGUGUUCUUUCGGGACAUAUUCA